rnacentral:rRNA from 1 species
UACGAGGGGGGCAAGCGUUGUUCGGAAUUAUUGGGCGUAAAGAGCUCGUAGGCGGUCUGUCACGUCUGCCGUGAAAACCCGAGGCUUAACCUCGUGGCUUGCGGUGGAUACGGGCAGACUAGAGGUAGGUAGGGGAGAACGGAAUUCCCGGUGUAGCGGUGAAAUGCGCAGAUAUCGGGAGGAACACCGGUGGCGAAGGCGGUUCUCUGGGCCUUACCUGACGCUGAGGAGCGAAAGCAUGGGGAGCGAACAGG